GUGGCUUUUGCUCUGGGUCCUCUGGGAUGGCGCGUGGCUGUGGCCGCGUGGUCUCUCACGCAGGGGCGCUGGGCGGGGGAACGCGGCCACCCUGAAUCUGGGGAGUCAACUGCGGCGGCCGGACUGUGUCCGAAGUGUCCGGGGCUGUGAACGCCUGAAGGACAGCGGCCUGGUCUCAGGCCUGCGUUCCCACGUUUCGAAACCGGGAGCUUCGUGGAUUUGUGUUUAGAUCAUCGACUAUGCCAGGGAGUUCUCCAGAUAAGCCUGGUUUUAUUUUCGUUAGUGAAAAGGCCCUACCGUAUAACUGACUUUAUGCUUGCCCUGCCCCCGUGUAAAAUAACUUAAAAGCAGAGUGCCUGGUUACGGCUGUUUCCACGUGCGGUGCUCGUCGGGAGCGAUCACCUACCCUGCAGGAUGUCCUUGGUGAGGAUUUUGAAAAUUUGAUCUUCACAAGAGUUGCUUGAAUCAUUUGAAAUUUCUGGGAGUCUGAGGAGUACUGACAUAAUUGCCUGUUGGAGUCUGUAAAUACACAUUUAAGACAGUGAGGAUGUGAAUAAAUAUAUUAAUGCACUUUGGCAUUUGUGUUU
rnacentral:lncRNA from 1 species